GCCCGGCCCUCCCCCGCCACUCCCUUCCCUCUGCCCGCCGCACUCACAGCGUGACCCGGGAGACGGCGAUGCGGACGGGCACACUGCGCUCCUUGAAGGCGGUGGUGAUGAAGCAGCCGAAGCCCUAAGGUUCCAGAGCAGGAAAAGGAGCCCAGAUGACUGUCAUGUAUGAAAAGGAGAUCGCUACAGUCAGUCGGCAGUGUCUUCAAGGACUGGAUUUCCUUCACUCAAACCAUGUGGUCCAUCGAGAUUUGAAGAGCCGCAACAUCCUUCUCAGAACGGACGGCUCUGUCAAGCUGGGCUCAGUUCAUGAUAGUGGCAGAAGGGAUGCCAGAGCUGCGCAAGCCCCACCUAGUCUCGCCUUGGCUGCGUGACUUCCUGCGCUGCUGCCUGCAGAGAGACGAGGCGCAGCGCUGGUCUGCCAAGGAGCUCCUGCAGCAUCAGUUUUUAACGUCAGCCAAGCCUGCGUCGAACCUGAUACCUCUCAUGGUUUCAGUGAAGAAGUGGAAGGAGAAGAGAAGAACAUGAAAAAUCACUUGAGAACUGUUUUCUCCAUAACCAGUUUAGAGUAGGAUUGUAGAGUAGCAUUGUAGCUAGCUAGUACUGUAGGGUAGGAUGGUAGCAUAGGACUGUAAACAAAUAAAGUUUCUGAAACCUCAACUCGUCUGGAAGAUUCCUCUCCAUCUGAUCCUGUGAGAAAGCUCAGCAUUUCCUUCUGAAUUGUCAGCUUUUCCUUAGAGGUGCAAAGGGGUCUUUAUGACCUUUUUUUAGUGCUUUGAAAGUGGGGAAGGCUCUUCUUCAGUCAUUCUCUCCAGACCAUACUGCCUUUGGAAUAUGGCCCGCUGGCUGGGUUUUACCCGGCUGUGGCACUUGUAAUUUGAGGCAGAAAGGGCAAUGGCAUUUGCAGGCAGAACCAAAGGAAGCGUGGGGUUUCCCAAACAUCCUGUCCAGAUGCAGGCCUCGAGCUAUGAGUCGAGAGCAUUUGGAUUUGUAUCCCCAAGUGCAGUCGCUUUGGCUGCAGGAGACUUUUGCUCAUCUGAGAGAGUAGAAAGAUCUGGAAGGUCGCCUGUGGUGCCGAGCUGUCAGUGAGUGUGAGGUGAGAGCAGGCCCAGCCUCGCCCAGGGCGGAGCUCCAGCAGAGCCCUGGCAGAGCCCGGAGCAGCCUGAGGCUGGCAGAGGCAGGCUGGAAGGAGGCCGGUGGAGCUGCAAGAGGCAGCAGCCCGGCCUUGGGUGCCUCUUCCUGGGCAUGUCCCCCCUCUUCUUUAGCUCAGCAACGAAAACCUACCAGGAAAAACCCAAACAAUGUCCUAAGACAUUAAGAACAGUGACAACAAUAACAACUAGAGCAACUUUUCAAGAACUGUAACAUAGGCAUUUAACAUUGUGACUAUAUACCCUUGGAACCAGGAAGAUGUGACAAAAGCCUGCACACAGCCUGAGGGAAUUCACUUCACUUGCGUGGCCUCUAGAGACACAGGCAUAACCUCUACCCCACGUCAAUAAGUCUAGUGGUCCUUUCCAUUCUCCAGCCAGUAAGUCCUUUAUUAUCUCAGGAGGUUUGGGAUGAGCCUUUGUGUCAAAGGAAUAUUGCCUUUCACAUGCUGUUUGGCCUGUCUCACAUCAGAAUUUCAAAAGCUGAGGACAUAGAAGGCCUUGGCUAGUCUAUUGUGAGGGCACUCCAAUUGCUCCUUUUUUUUGCUCUUCAAGCCUGGUUUUUCCACUUUUAUGGGUACGCUCUACUCUAGCUUGCCCUUUGGACGAGUGUGGAAUGGCUGUAUGGUGAGACACCCCCACUGCUGUGAGAAGUGAUGGGUUGGCUCUGAGGUGUGGGAAUGUCCAUUGUCAGUUUUGUUGGUAUGUGGAAGGUCUAGAGUGGCAGAACAGGUGAGCCAGUGUCGGAGAGCGUCACGGGUCUUCUCUCCAGUGCGAGCAGCUGCCAUAAGGAAACGGGAAUAGGUCUCAAUGGAAACAUGAAUAUCUUUUAAACAACCAAAUUCUGGGAAACGGCUAGCAUCAGUCUGCCAAAUGGAUUGAUCUGCUAAGCCUUGGGGAUUAGUCCCCUCUGCUAAAGGAGCAGCAGCAAGCCCACAGCAGGAGAGACAAGACAGCAGAAUAUCACGAGCCUGUGAGGAGAUGAAUUGAAAUUGAUUAAAAGGAGAACGAGCAUUGUGGAGGAAAAAGCUGUGAGAUCAUUGGCCUGUGCAGAAGUACCGGGUACCAUACCUGCCAUGGCAGUGAUGUCUGCAUAGUUGUUGAGUUCUGUAAUAGGCCCUGAGUGGGAGCAAACAUAUAAUACAUAAAAAUCAU